rnacentral:lncRNA from 1 species
AUGAUGGAUUACUAUGAAGUUCUAGGUGUGCAGAGACAUACCUCACCCAAGGAUAUUAAAAAAGCAUAAUGGAAACUGGCACUGAAGUGGCACCCAGAUUCCUGAGAAUAAAGAAGAAGCAGAGAGAAAAUCAAAACAAGUGGCUGAGGCAUGUGAGGUGCUGUAAGAUGCUAAAAGAUGGUACAUCUAUGACAGGAUUAAAUGGUGGCAAAGAAGGAUUAAAUGGUGGAGGAGGAGGUGGAAGUCAUUUUGACAGUCCAUUUGAGUUUGGCUUCACAUUUUGUAACCCAGAUGAUGUCUUCAGGGAAUUUUUUUGGUGGAAGGGACCCAUUUUUAUUUGACUUCUUUGAAGACCCUUUUGAGGACUUUUUUUUGGAAUGGGGUCCCUGAGGAGGCCAAGGGACAGAGUCAUUUUUUCCACAUUCAGUGGAUUUCCAUCUUUUGGAAGUGGAUUUUCUUCUUUUGAUACAAGAUUUGUUUCAUUCAGGUCACUAGGUCAUGGGGGCUUCACUUCAUUCUCUUUCGUGUCGUUUGGUGGUAGUGGGAUGGGCACUUCCAAAUUGAUAUCAGGUUCUACUAAAAUGGCUAAUGGCAGAAAAAUCACUACAAAGAGAAUUGUUGAGAAUGGUCAGGAAGGAAUAGAAUUUGAGGAAGAUGGCCAGUUAAAGUCCUUAACCAUACAGGGUUAGGAGCAGCUGCUGCACUUGGGUAAC